rnacentral:rRNA from 1 species
UUAUCCGGAUUUAUUGGGUUUAAAGGGAGCGUAGAUGGAUGUUUAAGUCAGUUGUGAAAGUUUGCGGCUCAACCGUAAAAUUGCAGUUGAUACUGGAUGUCUUGAGUGCAGUUGAGGCAGGCGGAAUUCGUGGUGUAGCGGUGAAAUGCUUAGAUAUCACGAAGAACUCCGAUUGCGAAGGCAGCCUGCUAAGCUGCAGCUGACAUUGAGGCUCGAAAGUGUGGGUAUCAAACAGGAUUAGAUACCCUGGUAGUCCACACGGUAAACGAUGAAUACUCGCUGUUUGCGAUAUACGGCAAGCGGCCAAGCGAAAGCGUUAAGUAUUCCACCUGGGGAGUACGCCGGCAACGGUGAAACUCAAAGGAAUUGACGGGGGCCCGCACAAGCGGAGGAACAUGUGGUUUAA